GUAGGUGAACCUGCGGAAGGAUCAUUAUUGUAGGUGCCCUCGGGCCCGUCAACACAAUAACCCUUGUCUUUUUUUGUGCACCCUUUGUUUCCUCGGCAGCUUUGCCUGCCAACGAGGACCCCCCAAAAACCUUUUGCAAUCUUAGUACAACAAUCUGAAAACAAACAAUAUUAAAACUUUCAACAAUGGAUCUCUUGGCUCUG
rnacentral:misc_RNA from 1 species